AAGUCGUAACAAGGUUUCCGUAGGUGAACCUGCGGAAGGAUCAUUACAAGUGAGGGCUACCCGAACGCUGGAAACAGCGGGUUAGGAGCUUUACACCCCACCCCGUGCUUACAUACUAUUUGUUGCUUUUGGCGGGGCCGUGGCCUCCACUGCGGGCUCUGCCCGUGUGUGCCCGCCAGAGGACCAAACUCUGAAUGUUAGUGAUGUCUGAGUACUAUCUAAUAGUUAAAA
rnacentral:misc_RNA from 1 species